ACGAACGCUGGCGGCACGCUUAACACAUGCAAGUCGAACGAGAGAAGAGAAGCUUGCUUUUCUGAUCUAGUGGCGGACGGGUGAGUAACACGUGAGCAAUCUGCCUUUCAGAGGGGGAUACCGAUUGGAAACGAUCGUUAAUACCGCAUAACAUAAUUGAACCGCAUGAUUUGAUUAUCAAAGAUUUAUCGCUGAAAGAUGAGCUCGCGUCUGAUUAGCUAGUUGGUAAGGUAACGGCUUACCAAGGCGACGAUCAGUAGCCGGACUGAGAGGUUGAUCGGCCACAUUGGGACUGAGACACGGCCCAGACUCCUACGGGAGGCAGCAGUGGGGAAUAUUGCACAAUGGAGGAAACUCUGAUGCAGCGAUGCCGCGUGAGGGAAGAAGGUUUUAGGAUUGUAAACCUCUGUCUUCAGGGACGAAAAAAGACGGUACCUGAGGAGGAAGCUCCGGCUAACUACGUGCCAGCAGCCGCGGUAAUACGUAGGGAGCGAGCGUUGUCCGGAAUUACUGGGUGUAAAGGGAGCGUAGGCGGGAUCGCAAGUCAGAUGUGAAAACUAUGGGCUUAACCCAUAAACUGCAUUUGAAACUGUGGUUCUUGAGUGAAGUAGAGGUAAGCGGAAUUCCUAGUGUAGCGGUGAAAUGCGUAGAUAUUACGAGGAACACCAGUGGCGAAGGCGGCUUACUGGGCUUUAACUGACGCUGAGGCUCGAAAGCGUGGGGAGCAAACAGGAUUAGAUACCCUGGUAGUCCACGCCGUAAACGAUGAUUACUAGGUGUGGGGGGACUGACCCCUUCCGUGCCGCAGCAAACGCAAUAAGUAAUCCACCUGGGGAGUACGACCGCAAGGUUGAAACUCAAAGGAAUUGACGGGGGCCCGCACGAGCAGUGGAGUAUGUGGAUUAAUUCGAAGCAACGCGAAGAACCUUACCAGGUCUUGACAUCGUAUGCAUAGCUCAGAGAUGAGUGAAAUCUCUUCGGAGACAUAUAGACAGGUGGUGCAUGGUUGUCGUCAGCUCGUGUCGUGAGAUGUUGGGUUAAGUCCCGCAACGAGCGCAACCCUUACUGUUAGUUGCUACGCAAGAGCACUCUAGCAGGACUGCCGUUGACAAAACGGAGGAAGGUGGGGAUGACGUCAAAUCAUCAUGCCCCUUAUGACCUGGGCCUCACACGUACUACAAUGGCUGUCAACAGAGGGAUGCAAAGCCGCGAGGUGGAGCGAACCCCUAAAAGCAGUCUUAGUUCGGAUUGUAGGCUGCAACCCGCCUACAUGAAGUCGGAAUUGCUAGUAAUCGCAGAUCAGCAUGCUGCGGUGAAUACGUUCCCGGGCCUUGUACACACCGCCCGUCACGCCAUGGGAGUCGGUAACACCCGAAGCCUGUAGUCUAACCGCAAGGAGGACGCAGUCGAAGGUGGGAUUGAUGACUGGGGUG
rnacentral:rRNA from 1 species